rfam:Acidithrix ferrooxidans strain Py-F3 AXFE_contig000161, whole genome shotgun sequence.
AGGAGCCGUGUGAAUUGAGAGGUUCACGCACGGUUCUGUGAGAGCGGGGAGGGGAAGUUCCUCCCCGCCACUCGAC